rnacentral:rRNA from 1 species
GGGGAAUAUUGCACAAUGGGCGAAAGCCUGAUGCAGCAACGCCGCGUGAGGGAUGAAGGCCUUCGGGUUGUAAACCUCUUUUAGCAGGGAAGAAGCGAAAGUGACGGUACCUGCAGAAAAAGCACCGGCUAACUACGUGCCAGCAGCCGCGGUAAUACGUAGGGUGCAAGCGUUGUCCGGAAUUAUUGGGCGUAAAGAGCUCGUAGGCGGUUUGUCGCGUCUGCUGUGAAAAUCCGAGGCUCAACCUCGGACUUGCAGUGGGUACGGGCAGACUAGAGUGCAGUAGGGGAGAAGGGAAUUCCUGGUGUAGCGGUGGAAUGCGCAGAUAUCAGGAGGAACACCGAUGGCGAAGGCACUUCUCUGGGCUGUAACUGACGCUGAGGAGCGAAAGCGUGGGGAGCGAACAGGAUUAGAUACCCG